UUAUUAAAGUUUUAAUGUGGCAGAAAAGUGCCAUGGAUUUAAGCUCCAUUUAUAAAGGCUUAUAUCCUUUCAUUAAAA
rnacentral:tRNA from 1 species